CUUCCUCCCUCCUUCCCUCCCUUUUUUCUUUCUUUUCUUUGUUUAAACAGGUGGCUCCAGAGCUGUUUGUUUCACAGGAUUCUCUCAAAUCUUGGUCCUUGGCCCCAGCCACAGAGCAAGCUGAGUGGUGGCUGCCAGCCAUUUUCCUGAGGAGCCACCUGCACUGACCCCCAAGACAAGGUUGUCAUGAAUGGGCAUACUGAGGCCAUGUCAGAUCCACAAGGCCAGCUUUCCAUCGGCCCAUUUGUAUCCUGUUUUUUAAGAGGCUUCAUCAAAUGGCUUGGAUGAGAGGUCAAUACAAGGGGCAGGGAGGCCUGAGUCACAGCUCAGAUUUCAGACUCUAAAACUGAAGUGAGUUUAUUGAAAGGUUGUCUUCCCACUCCUGUUGGCACUGGUGAGCUGCAACGCAGAAUUCCUAGGGGCUCGUCCGGAUCUACUGACACAGGCCCACGCAGAAAAAUGACCAGCCAGUUUCAUAUGAGGCGACAGACAAUAGCCUGAAUCCAGUCAGGGAUUCAAACAGCCCACGCCUUCCCUCCAACACCACACACUGUGGUAGACAGAACAAACGGCCCCCAAAGAUGUCCACAUCCGAAUCCUGAAACCCUGUGAAUGGUACCUUACAUGGCAAAAGGGACUUCACAGAUGUGAUUAUGUUAAAGAUCUUGAGAUGGGGGGAGUAUCCCGGAAAAUCCAGGUGGGACUGAUGCAACCACAAGGAUCUUCAUGAGAGGGAGGUAGGAGGGUCAGAGUGGGAGGAGGUAUGACAAUGGAAGCAGAGAUCAGGGUAAUGCGCUUGAAGAUGGAGGAAGGAGCCAUAAGCCAAGAAUGCCAGUGGCCUCUAGAAGCUGGAAAAGGUGAAGAAACAGAUUCUUCCAUCAAGUCUCCAAAAGGACCUACCCCUGCUAACAUCUGUUAACUUAAAAAUAAAAGGCCUUUCACAAUGAGAGGCAAACAAGCAUUUAUUUGAGAUCAAAGAAUAGCUGGGAUGCACUGAUUCAGGUAGAAGUCCAAACGGUGUUCCGAUUAGGAGAUGAAGGCGAGGGGUAUUUAUGACAAAGGGAAGGGGAACAAUUACAUCCUUGGAAAGAAGUCAUUUCUAUCGGUGCAGAUAACAAUGAUAUUAGUUCUAAAUAAUGUUUUUAAUUUUCAGUUCGAUAGUCAUCAAUUCCGUAGCCAUAAUAUCUGCUUUCCUGUUAUCCCUGCAAACAGUUUAUUUUGGAUGCACUGUUUCCCUAGGCCCAGUCCAAAUGUUAUUUUGCCUUAUUUUAACAUUUCCAAGGUCUGAGGUAUCAUAUAUGUGAGGCAGUUCCUCUGGCAAGGCAGCUCUGGCUUCAUUUUAAAGUGGCCCAUUUAUAUUAUUGCUUAUAAGCCCAUAAGACCCAUUUUGGACUUCUGACCUCCAGAACUGUAAGAGAAUAAAUUUAUGCUAUUUUAAGCCACUCGGUUUGUUACAGCAGCAAUAGGAAACUAAUCAGCCUCCCAGAGGUUUCUGCAGGCCCUCGAGCCAACCAGCCCCAAGGGGAACAGCCGAAGCCAACCCAGACCCAUGCAGCAUCUCUGGAGAAGCUCCUGAAGCUGAGUGGCUUUGGAAAACGCUGGUGUGUAAACAAGACUCUUUCAUGGAGGUGACCUCUCAGAACCUGUAAUGUGUUUAUCAGUCUAGUGAGCCUUCAAGAAAAGGUGUGUGCAGAGGAUUUCGAUGCUCUAACUGCUCUAACAAUGCUCUAACUGUGAAACUUUU